rnacentral:lncRNA from 13 species
CACCCCGUCCUUUACCCCGAUCGUCUCAAUUUCCUGUCUCAGCGAGUCCAGCGUCUCCGGGACUUGGCUUUGUUGUCCUUCCUUAAACCUUUAAGAGAAAGGGCUGAUUUGAACACUCUGCUUUUAAAACGUGGAGACAUCUGAGGUGUCUCGGAUGUGAGUAUAGGGGCAGACUACCCAGCGCCUGUGAACCGGGGACUUUUCAGCCUGGGUGUUCUGCCUCCCCCGCAUUCUGUCCUGUCUCUUUAAGAACACUGAAGCGGCCGGGCGCGGUGACUCACGCCUGUAAUCCCAGCACUUUGGGAAGCUGAGGCGGGUGGAUCACGAGGUCAAGAGAUCGAGACCAUCCUGGUCAAUAUGGUGAAACCCCGUCUCUACUAAAAAUAGAAAAAUUAGCUGGGCAUGGUGGCGCAUGCCUGUAAUCCCAGCUACUCGGGAGGCUGAGGCAGGAGAGUUGCCUGAACCCAGGAGGCGGAGGUUGUGGUGAGCCGAGAUCGCGCCAUUGCACUCCAGCCUGGGUAACAAGAGUGAAACUCCAUCUAAAAAAAAAAAAAAAAAAAAAAAGUAAAGAAAACUGAAGCAGCGGCCCAGAGCCUUGGCAGCCGCUGGAAUUCAAAAGUGCGGUUUUUCCUGCAUAGGUCGGUUGGGCAGAGUCUGUAAGGUGAGGCCUGCAAACACCGCCCCCAGGGCCUUUGUCUCCUCGCGGGCGGGGACUGCCUAGCACGGGGAGCUAAGACCGCACAGCUCAGCUGCACGCAGGCACAGAUGGGCUGGGAAAAACCGCGGAGGGGCGAGUUGCAGCCCAGUCCCAGGCAGCCGUUCAAGAGCCCCCUACAUUGUUGGCCUUCUCCCCGUAAUUCGGAGGCUGAAAAUACUAAGUGUCGUGGCAAAUCGCGGUGGGAUCCCUCUUCUUGUUUCUCCAGCCCAGCCGUUCCCUCGAGGACCAGUGAAGUUUGUCCCUGUGGACAGGAGUGGGACUUGUUGACCUUGCUGCAGGAUUUGGACACAGCAGAAGUGAAAGUGGAUGCAGCAGCUGGGAGGGUGCAGAACCGGGACUCCAACGAGUGGAUUUCUACCUCUGUCCUGGAGACCACCCUGACACUACCUGCCGGGGUAGUUAUGAGUGUUUCUGCCCUUGUUGGUCAUGUGUAACUUUGGCUACUUACCCGGCAGGGCUGACCCGGUCUCCAACCCUUUCUAUAGCUCGAACCUCUCGUCCUGAUCUAUGUGCUAUGGGAGCCUCUACUCCCAAGUCUGUUCAGUGGUACUACAGUAUAAUGUGGGGACUGUGACUCUAUAUUGGAGGGUUUGAUCUUGGAACUAUGUUUACCAUUCAGAAAAGGGUCUUGAUCCCCUGGAGCCCCCCUAAACCCAUCGGUCUUUUAACUGAUUUAGGGGACCCUACGUUCCGCCCACACCCAGAUAAGGUGAGCCCCACUGGCCCAACUGCCCCGUUGCCAGUCCGGGCUCCCGAGCUCCGACUGCAACCCCGGCACCUCCAACCCAGCUUUAUGUCCGUCUUAGGAGGAGUAUGCCACCUCCUUAAUAUUACUCAGCCUAAGCCGGCCCAAGACUGUUGGUUGUGCCUGAAGGCCAAGCCUUCAUAUUAUGUUGGAUUGGGAGUUGAGGUUAAGUGAAACCCUGUCCUCACUCCGUUACAUUAGGGGAUGUUUCAGGAAACGCCUCCUGCCUGGUCAGUGAGGGGUACAACCUAUCUGCCUCCCCCUUUCCAGGCCACCUGUAAUCGGUCUCUGCUUACUUUCCUAACGGCUUCAGUCUCCUAGCAGGCACCAAAUAACCCCUGGCUGGCUUGCGCCUCAGGCCUCGCCCGUUGCAUUAACGGGACUGAACCUGGAACCCUCCUGCGCAUGCUAGUUCAUGUACUUCCUCAGGUGUACGUGUACAGCGGGCCAGAGGGACAGCUUCUCAGUGCCCCUCCUGAACUGCACCCCAGAGUGCGCUGAGGUGCCCCUCUCCUAGUGCCCCUUUUGGCUGGCCUCAGUGUGGCUGCGUCAACAGCAAUGGGCACAGCAGCACGAGUCCGAGGAGAAAGUGGAUUCCCUACCCCAACAGGUAGAUGCUGAUUUAGGAAAUGUCCAGUCAGCCAUAACUACACUGCAUGCCCAGGUUGAUUCCUUAGCUGAGGUAGUCCUCCAAGACCACCGUGGCCUGGACCCGGUGUUUCUCUCCCAAGGGGGUUUGUGUGCGGCGUUGGGGGAAAGCUGUUGAUUUUAUGCUAACCAGUCUGGAGUCAUAAGAGACUCUCUUCAAAAGGUUCGAGGAAAUUUAGGUAGAUGCCCACGGGAACGAAAAAAUGACACCCCAUGAUACCGGGCCGUGUUUCACCGGGACCCUUGCUGACUUCUUUAAUAACUGGAAUAGCAGGACCUCUUCUCCUCCUCCUGUUGGGAUUCAUUUUUGGGCCCUGUCUAUUAAAUUGAUUUAUUAAUUUUGUAAAACGGCGCAUAGCUGCUGUCAAACGUAUAUGUCUUAGAACCCAAUAUAACCCUCUGACUGUAGCUGAGGAAUCAAUGAUUUGAUUUCCCAGAACACACAAGUGGGGAACGUGAUACCCUGUUUUUUGCAGCUAAAAACUAACACUCCUUUUCCUGGCUAAAAGCUGUUCCGGCUUGAUGUUAGCUUCCUGAGCCGGACUGACGCCAUCUUGGCUUCUGCAUUUUAGUCACCUUCUCCCCACUGAGUAUGUAACUCGAGUAUAAAGCAAGGUCAGCCUGACUCUGGGCACCCAGGGGUGCCUUUGUGAUAAGAGGCCGAGUAAAGUGGUACCAGCAGAGCCUGGAAAUGCAGCUGCAGUGAGCACCCAGAGCCCUCUUAUCUAUAAGUUGUGUGUCAUCCAUGACAGCUGUACUCCUCACACCUGGCACUGUUUUAGUUCUUACGUAUCGGUUUUUCUUUUUAACUUUUUACUUACUCUGCCUUUGUGAAAACUUUGUUUCAGCUAGGUUCCCCCCUUCCUGUUAAAACUGGUGUAUAAAAGACCCCCUAACUUUUUCUUCGGGGCCGAGAGAAUUUUGGGCGUUAGCCACUCUGGGUCGCUGGCUUAAUAAAGGACUCAUAAUUCAGUAUCA